GCAACCAUUGCGCAACAUGCGGUCCACACCAGACGAGACCACCCCGGUGAUGGAUUACCCGUGAGUAGAGCAUAGAUGUCAGAAGGUAUGUUGCGUGAGAGGGAGAUGGUAAAAAUAGAAAUGGUAAAUAAAAUCAUAAACAAAAACAGAACGAAGAAUGAUCAAAAUGGUCAACCUAGGCUUUGAGUAAAGAAGUGUAGUUUAGGGAGUUUGAACUAUUUAUUAGAUAAUUGCGGUUGCUAAAAUUAGCUUACGUGCAAAUACAGAGAGUUUGUGAUUGAAAGCUCGUCCGAAGGUAAGGACAGUAUAAAUAAUCGUAGAAACGUGAAUCUAACAGUGUUCUGUACAGGAUAGGUGAAAGCGCCGUUGAUUCGACCGUGAGCCAGCAUACCUGUGAGGAAAAGGACUAAUACAGAAAACUAUAAAAUGUAAGUAAUAAUAGAAAAUGCUAAAAAGAAUGACUGUUAAAGUGCCAAUUUGUCUAUUCCUAUUGUUUAUUUGUAUCAAUAAAAUUAGUUUCAAGCUGUUGCAAAAGUUUAACUGCCUGCUUUGAGAAUUCAGUUUUCUUAGGGUGGUCCAAAAAGGAACAAACUUGAAAAUUUUAUAAAGUUCCGACCAAACCCAAAAAUGCAAAGUCCUGAUAAGACAGGUUUUAAUUGUGCGGCUUGCGACCGUCCUGAUGACGAGGAGUCGCAAAUGGUAUUUUGUGACCACUGCCAGCGGUGGUAUCACUUCGGCUGUGUUGGCGUCUCAGCUGAUGUCAAGGACGUUUCUUGGUGCUGUCAGAAGUGCGUCGGAAGUGAAAGUGAAGGUGUUGUUCCUGCUGAUGUGCAAGAGGGGCUGCAAGAGCUCGAAGCGGAGAAGGCGAAGCAGAAGCGGGAAAUGGAGAAGGAGAAGAUUUUGUACCGGAAACGUCUGGAGAUGAAGCAGGAGCUGUUCGAGUUGCGCCAGCAGCUGGAGAAAGAGAAGCGGGAGAUGGAACUCGAGUUCGAACAGGCGCAAAUGGCGAAGAAGCUCGCGGAAGAAGAAGCCCAUCAGAGGAAACUCGACCAAAUGCGGACGGAGAUGGAGGAGAAGCUGAAGCAGUUGAAGCUGAAGCGGAAUUCAGGAGCGGCCGAUGGUGAAAAGGAGCUGGAGCAAGCUGUCGGAGGCGGUAAAGUGGGAAGCUCAAAAAGCGGAAUCAAGAAGAAGACGGAAUCGGAGCAGUCGAAGCCGGGAAAAGGACUCGAGAAGAAAAAGUCGAGGAAUGGAAAGCCUGGAAUAGCGGAUGCGACGGUAGCGGACUUCGAAGAUCCGAGAGGAGCGUACCACAAGCACUCGACUCCGAAAGUUUGUCGCAAACUGACACUGAAGCCGGUUGGAGGUCCAUCGAGUCUGUCGGAGAGUUUUUUGAUCGGGCGCGGCGGAGAUUCGACGCCACUCGGACGACCAGGGGUUCCCAAACCCGAGAAGGUGAAAACAGCAAAGAAGAUGAAGAAAGUGGUGGAAGUUGAGUCGGAAAGCGCGGGUUCCGAAGAAGAAGAAGAGUCCGCUGAAGAGGUGGAAAGCUGCGAAGAAGAAGAAGAAGAUGAUAGUUCCAGCGAGGAAGAGGAGACCUCCGCAGAGGAGGAAGAAAGCAGCGAAGAAAGUUCGGAAAGUUCCGAAGAAGAGAAACAGAAAGAGAAGCCUCGUCGCAAAAGCGGAAAAGAGAAGGAUGGGCGGAAGAUUCGGCAGCGAGAACCAACGAAGGCGCAGAUGUCCGCUCGGCAAUUCCUGUCCAGGAAGUUGCCAACGUUUUCUGGCAGGAUGGAAGAAUGGCCGAUGUUCAUCAGCAGCUACGAGACGUCGACGAAGGCGUGCGGCUUUUCCGACGUGGAGAAUUUGGCGCGGCUACAGGAGUGCCUGAAAGGAGAGGCCCUGGAGGCGGUAAGGAGCAGACUGCUUCUGCCGAAAUCCGUCCCAAAGAUUGUGGAGACACUGCGCAUGCUGUACGGCAGGCCAGAGCGACUGCUCAAUAUGCUGUUGGCGAAGGUGCGCAAUGCAGCGCCACCGAAAGCGGAUCGGCUGGCGAGUUUCAUCAGCUUCGGAGUGGUAGUGCAGCAGCUUGCCGAUCACCUAGAAGCGACCGGACUAACGACGCACUUGGUCAACCCGAUGCUGAUCCAGGAGUUGACGGAGAAGCUACCGGCUGGCACCCAGCUGGAAUGGGUACGAUAUCGCAGGAAGACCAAAGUGGUGACGCUGAGGACGUUAUCAAACUUCCUGUCAAGCAUCGUGAAGGACGCUAGCGAAGUAGCAGCGUAUGGAGAAGGUACCCCCCGUUCCGGAGAAUCCGGAUCGAAGAAAGGAUCGAGAAGCAGAGCGCACGACGGCUACGUGCACUCGCACGACGCGGAAGCGAAUAGGAGUUCGAGUCCACCCAGGAGGGAGAGGAAGCCCUGCCGGAUUUGUGGCAGAGUGGAUCACCGGAUCCGGAACUGCGAGAAGUUUCGGAGGCUCCAGCUCGGAGAACGAUGGGAAGCGGUGCGCAGAUGGAAGCUAUGCCAACUGUGCCUGAAUGAGCACGGUAACGCCGGCUGCAAACUUAGCUUCCGCUGUAACGUUGAAGGCUGUAAGGAACGACACAACCCGCUGCUCCAUUUCGUCAGGCCAGCCGCAGGACUAAACUGCAACGUUCACGCCGCGCAGCCAAAACAAACCGUGAUCUUCCGGAUGAUGCCCGUCACGCUGCACUGUGGCAAACACUCCGUGAACACUAUCGCGUUUCUGGAUGAAGGAUCAUCGUACACACUGGUCGAACGGGCACUGGUGAACCGUUUAGGAGUCCGAGGCGCGACACAGCCCUUGCGCGUAACUUGGACCGCAGGAGUUUCCCGGAUCGAGAAAGACUCGCAGUGUGUGAGUCUCUUCAUCUCGGCGAGAGGUUCCGCACAACGUUUCCAAAUAAAGAGCGCCCACACAGUGGAGAGUUUAAAGCUUCCACAACACACGGUAGCCAUGUCGGAAGUGGUGAGGCAAUAUGCGCAUCUUCAAGGCCUACCGAUCACCGACAUCCAGCAUGCCGCUCCACAGAUUUUGAUCGGGCUGAAGGAUAUUCAUCUUUACGCGCCGUUGGAAUCGCGAAUCGGUCGACCGGAAGAGCCGAUAGCAGUAAGGUCGAAGCUAGGCUGGACCGUAUACGGGCCGACGGGACCGGGAAACGUGACUAGCGGAAUGGUCGCGCAUCAUUCGUGCAGCCCGGUGUCCAAUCAGGAGCUUCACGAUCUCCUGAAGAGUCACUACACGCUGGAGGAGUCCGGCAUUUCCAUCGCCUUGCUUCCGGAGCCGGAAGAAGACAGAAGAGCGAAGGAGAUUUUGAAGAAGACGACGAGGAGGAUCGGCGAUCGUUUCGAGACGGGUUUGCUGUGGAAGGACGACAACAUCGAAUUUCCCGACAGCUACCCUAUGGCGGUGAAGCGGCUGAUGUGUUUGGAGAAACGCCUGCGGAAGGAUCCCGAGCUGUAUGUCAAAGUCCGUACCAUGAUCGCCGACUAUCUCGUGAAAGGCUACGCACACGAAGCGUCGGAGUCGGAGCUGCUAGCGUUGGAUUGCAGCAAGGUGUGGUACGUUCCGCUGAAUAUCGUCUACAACCCGAGAAAGAAGAAGUUUCGUCUGGUGUGGGACGCCAGAGCGGAAGUUAGAGGAGUGUCGCUCAACUCGAAGUUGCUGAAGGGGCCGGAUAUGCUGACUGCCCUGCCGGCGGUGAUAUGCAAGUUUCGGGAGCGAGAAGUCGGUUUCGGAGCAGACAUAAAGGAGAUGUACCACCAGCUGCGGAUUCGAGAUGAGGACAAGCGAGCGCAAAGGUUUCUGUUUCGAAACGAUCCGUCGGAGAAGCCGACAGUGUAUGUGAUGGACGUAGCCACUUUUGGGUCGACGAGCUCGCCAUGCUCGGCGCAGUACGUCAAGAACUUGAACGCGAAGGAGUUUGCAGGACAGUUUCCAGCGGCGGCGGUGGCCAUCGUCGAAAACCACUACGUCGACGAUUAUUUCGACAGCGUAGACACGAUCGAGGAAGCUGUGAAACGAGCGAAGGAAGUACGAUACGUCCACUCCAGAGGCGGUUUUGAGCUCCGCAACUGGGUCUCCAAUUCCGAAGAGUUCCUGGAUGCGAUGGGAGAGCGAAAAGAGGAUCAGUGCGUGCGGUUCAGCGAGGAUAAGGAGUCCGGAUCCGAGCGAGUACUGGGGAUCGUGUGGAGCCCGGCAAGCGACGAAUUCUCGUUCUCCACCAAAUUGAGAGACGAUCUGGAGCCGUUCCUGUCCGGCGUGAAGCUGCCGACCAAAAGGAUCCUGUUGAGCUGCGUGAUGAGCUUUUUCGACCCGUUAGGACUGUUGUCCAUUUUCACGUUCUAUGGGAAGCUGCUGAUUCAGGACCUGUGGCGUACUGGAUGUGAGUGGGACCAGCAGAUCGAUGAAGAGUGUGCGGAGAAGUGGAGUAACUGGAUCCGGAGGCUUCCAGAAGUCGACGAAGUGCGCAUUCCCCGAUACUAUUUCCGUGGCGGAUUUUCACUGCGAUACGACAGCCUACAGCUGCACGUUUUCGUAGACGCUAGCCAGGACGCGUACGGUGCCGUGGCGUACAUCCGCAUCGAGACGGCCACCGGGCCGUUAUGCUCGCUCGUGAUGGCGAGAUCUAAGGUAGCACCACUGCAGCACAUGUCCAUACCGCGACUGGAGCUGCAAGCUGCAGUGUUAGGAGCGAGGUUGGCGAACUCCAUCGGCGAGACGAUUUCGUUGGAGGUAAAGAAGCGUUUCAUGUGGUCCGACUCGAAGACCGUGCUGUCGUGGAUCCACUCCGACCACCGUCGGUACAAGCAGUUUGUGGCGUACCGGAUCGGCGAGAUCCACAGUCUAACGAAGCUUGCGGAAUGGAGAUGGGUGCCGACGAAGUGCAACGUGGCCGACGCGUUAACGAAGUGGGAAAAGGCGCACAGCCUGCGACCAAGCGGACCAUGGUUUCGUGGCCCAGACUUUCUGUACCAGCCGGAGGAUUUUUGGCCGGAGCAAGAGGCAGUGACACCGAACACUAGCGAGGAGACCCGAGCGUGUUUGCAUUUCCACGAAAUUGCAGUCACUGAGCCGAUGGUGGACCCGCUGCGGUUUUCGAAGUGGAAGAUUCUGGUCCGGACGGUAGCGUGCGUCUACCGGUUUGCAUCGAACUGCAGAAGGAAGAGAGAUGGGCUGGAGAUCGAAGUCGUACCGGCCACUGCAAGAAUCAGCAGCGUCGUGAAGAAACACGUGCGAGCGAAGCUAGUGCCGCUGAAGCGGGACGAAUACCGGAAAGCGGAGGCGUAUCUCUGGAGGUCGGCCCAAGCCGAUUGCUUCGGAGAUGAGGUCUGCACAUUGGUGAAGAACCAGAAGCAGCCAAACCAGCAGCAGCAACCAGUAGAGAAGAGCAGUAGCCUGUACAGCUUGAGCCCGUUCCUGGACGCCGAGGGUGUACUACGGAUGGAAGGCAGAGCGGCGCAAGGAUCGUCGCUACCAUUCGAGCUGCGGUUCCCGAUUAUUUUGCCGAAAAAGCAUCCGGUGACCGACAAGCUGCUCGACCACUAUCAUCAACAAGUAGCUCACGGGAACACGGAGACCGCAGUCAACGAAAUUCGGCAGCGUUUCUACGUCCAGAAUCUGCGAGCGGAACUGAAGAGGAUCGGAAGAAUGUGCGUCUGGUGCAAGGUGCAGAAGUGUCGCCCGUCGAACCCGAGGAUGGCUCCGUUGCCGGAGUCGCGAGUGACGCCGCAUCUGCCACCGUUCAGCCACACCGGCGUGGACUACUGCGGACCGCUGACUGUUACUGUCGGCCGCAGAUCAGAGAAGAGGUACAUCUGCCUGUUUACCUGCAUGACGACGAGGGCUGUCCACCUUGAGGUCGCUCACAGCCUGACGACUCAAGCGUGUCUGAUGGCCAUACGGCGGUUCGUGUGUCGCAGAGGGAAGCCGCUAGAGUUCUACUCGGACAACGGCACAAACUUCCAAGCAGCAAGCAAGGCCAUCAUGCAGCGAAUCGAGAUCGAGUCAGAGGACGAAUUUACGGAUUCCAGGACCCGCUGGAAUUUCAACCCGCCCAGCGCACCUCACAUGGGUGGGGUUUGGGAGCGAUUGGUUCGCUCCGUGAAGGCAGCACUGACCGUGCUGAAUGACGGGCGGACGAUAACGGACGAAGUGCUACUGACGACGAUAGCGGAGGCCGAAGACCUCAUCAACUCCCGGCCACUAACGUACGUUGGCCUGGAACCAGGAGCGGAGGGAGCGUUGACGCCGAACCACUUUGUUCGCGGCGUUGGCGCAAUCAGCGAGGAGCGUUCUGUUCCAGCGACGAGUGAUGCCGAAGCACUGCAAGACCGCUACAAGCGGUCACAGCGACUGGCGGACAAGCUGUGGGCUCGGUGGGUGUCCGAGUAUUUGCCAUCCAUCAACCAGCGGACGAAGUGGCUCUCCGAGUCGCCGCCACUAGCGUGUGGUGAUCUAGUGUACAUCACCGAUGAGGCCGUGCGGAAGAGCUGGAUCCGGGGCAUCGUGACGGACGUCUACCCGGGAGCGGACGGCAGAAUCCGGCAGGCCAUGGUCGAGACGAGCAAGGGUAAGUUUAGGAGACCGGUGACCAGACUGGCUGUGCUCGAGGUACAGGAGGGUAAAUCCGGUGCAGCCGAGGAGCCCCACCAGAGUUACGGGAGGGGGUGUGUUGGCACAGCCCCAUACCACCUUUCGACAGCGCAACCAUUGCGCAACAUGCGGUCCACACCAGACGAGACCACCCCGGUGAUGGAUUACCCGUGAGUAGAGCAUAGAUGUCAGAAGGUAUGUUGCGUGAGAGGGAGAUGGUAAAAAUAGAAAUGGUAAAUAAAAUCAUAAACAAAAACAGAACGAAGAAUGAUCAAAAUGGUCAACCUAGGCUUUGAGUAAAGAAGUGUAGUUUAGGGAGUUUGAACUAUUUAUUAGAUAAUUGCGGUUGCUAAAAUUAGCUUACGUGCAAAUACAGAGAGUUUGUGAUUGAAAGCUCGUCCGAAGGAUAGGUGAAAGCGCCGUUGAUUCGACCGUGAGCCAGCAUACCUGUGAGGAAAAGGACUAAUACAGAAAACUAUAAAAUGUAAGUAAUAAUAGAAAAUGCUAAAAAGAAUGACUGUUAAAGUGCCAAUUUGUCUAUUCCUAUUGUUUAUUUGUAUCAAUAAAAUUAGUUUCAAGCUGUUGCAAAUGUUUAACUGCCUGCUUUGAGAAUUCAGUUUUCUUAGGGUGGUCCAAAAAGGAACAAAGACAUUAGGAAGAAAGUGUGCGAAAUGAGUAACUUCACCCUUGUAGAAACAAUAGGGGAAAGCAGAAAAAAAUCUGCGACAACCCUAUGUGAAUAACACCGAUCAUACAGAAUAGGAGGUUCGACAUUAUUUAGAUCUAUAAAAACAACCCAACAAUAGGGGAGAUUUUUCCAAUAUUACACAUUUUUUAUUCAUAGCUCUAUUAUACACAUUCUUAUAUAUUUAAAACAUAUUCAUCAACAUGUAAUCUGGAUCGUUUGGUAUACGCAUCCUUCCUCCCCUGUAAAUUCGAGAAGUACCUUGCCGAAAGAAAAUGUUCUGUACUCCAAGUAUUUCGAAGAACACUUUGCGCGUAAAUACAACGCAAUAGACCUGGCCGCUUUGAUGUAUGUGUCCUGAUAUGCUGCAAGCAUCAAUAUUGACAAGAAAAGUAACACGAUUGCUUUCCAGGGCAGGGAUGGCAAAAAUACUUUUUUCUUUUUUCCGUUCAUCGAUACUGGCAGUAAAAUAAAAACAAAACAACGGCAGCACCAAUACCAUCAGAAGCCGCGCCGACGGCAGUCAAGCAGACGCUUGAUGGUUUUCGCUUCCCCACGAAAACAUUAAUGAGCAGUCAUGCUGAGGUGGGUGAUUGCGAAAAAUGUCAAAUAUUUUCAACUGCUAAUAACUCACUUGUUUUAAUAAAUAAUUUAAAUCGAUUUGCACAAAUAGCUAGAGCACACUCCUAGCUUUGUGAUGCAUAUAAAGAAGUUUGUCUGGAAGCGGUUUGAAACGCAGAAAAAUGCGAAAACGGGAGAGACAGAAAUUUUUGUCGUCGUUGUGCUCGAGUACUGGCGCUCUCGCGCUUGGAAACCGUUUCGAGGAAGAAGGCUGCAGGAAAAAAAAUGUUAUGACAUUUAUUUUUCGAACAGUUUGAGUUUGGCUGGGCCUAUGAUUUUCGUGUGGAAAAAUGUCAAAUGUACAGCCGGUAACCGUUUUUUCCAGUACAUUUCUCAUCCCUGUUCCAGGGUGAUUCCGCGUACUGGCUGCGUAUGUAAAAGAUUAGAUUUGAGUAGUUAUGAUUUUUCAAAGAUGCUUUGACUGUACCUAACUCAAUUCAGAUAUCAUAGAAACACUACAGUUAUUUAUUUUUUUUUUGUAAAAACAGACUUUAAUCAUACCGAUAAAAAUCUAAAAAAAUGUAGUCGAGCUGCCAAGUUUCAUCAAUUAAAAUGGGCGGUGUGCAGGACUGCCAUAUUGUAGGUUCCUCGUUAUAGAAAAAGCAAGUGUUGGAAGUUAAAAUACAACAAAUGUUGUAUGAAGUGCCAAAAAAGAGAGUAGGCUCAUUAUGUACUUUCACAAAUACGCAGUCUACUUCAAGCGCAUAGAAUCUGCUUCCAACAAAAUAUUCAUAUACCAGCAUCCAAAGGAUCGCAAUAUAUAUUAAUAUUUCCGAUUGAUGCUUUCUAACUAAAAGGUUGUGACUGAGUAUAGAAUAAGCUGAAGUUAAAAUACACGUUAAUGAAAAAAGGUUGCGCAAACUUAUCGCAGACUGUUAGAAGACAGCUUCUACUAUGACCAGGAUUCAAGAAUUUUGACCUACGCGAAGUUGUAAAGGAGACAACUACGUAAUAAAUGUGUUGGAAAUGCAAGGGAUGUAAUUAUUCAAUAAACCUAAUUAUUAAAAAAGAUGCUCAAAAUCUCAAAUUCAGAUAAAUUUCUUGCGAGAAAGGCAACAUGGAUAUCGAAGAGAUGGAUAUUAUUUUAGAUAAAAAUUCAACCUACUAGUCAUACAGUAAGCAACAAACAUAUAAUUUAAGGUGAAGAUAUGACGAAGCCACAGCUCAAAUUUUCAAGAGCACAAAUCUGAAGAACCGAACGUCGGAUUGCACUGAAAAUUUGAUCGAUUGAUUUCCCGCUGGUGGUGACUAAUCGAUCAACUUUUCAGCGCAAUACGGCAUUCGGUUCUUCAGAAUUGUGCUCUUGAAAAUUCGAGCUGUGGCUUCGUCAUAUCUUCACCUUAAAAAAGAUUGAAUUCCGGGAUUAAAUACAAUCAUACAUUAUUGAGAAAAUGAUAUCUUGAAACGCACCAAAACUGGUACAAAUCUCCAAGGGAAUUAUUUAUUUGAGUUCAAUUUUUAACAACAGUUUUCAGUCUUAUCCAAAACCUUCUUUCAAAAUAUGAGCACAGAUUAUUAUACCGAAUAAGAUUUGCAAUAACACCAUAGAAAUAAACAAAAUAUUGCGAUGAUUUACGGAAGUGCAAAAAACCGAUGGUACGGAUAGAAUAGAGACCACCGGUGCGGAAAGGCGACCGAUCAUUAUUUUACUCACAUGGAAACGAACGACCGGUGCGAAAAUGGGUGAAUAACGAAAUUAAAAAUCGUUAACGACGUGCUGUUGCGUGUGUAGUGUUAAGCCCACGAGUGGGAUUGGUCUUAGGUCAACAACCUACUGUUUCCGAAACCAAAAAACCGUUACAGAAACCGAAAAUGAAAGAUUACGAACUGAUUCAACGGUAACGACUUUUAGCGCGAAACAACGGACAAGAGUUGGAACUUGGAACACAGAGAAACAGACGUAACACUUAGAACAAAUUUCAUUAAAAUGCAUCGUCACGAAAACGCAAUCGCCCAAUGUUAAACGUACUGUGUUUGGCCGGGCCGCCACUAGAUGGCGGUAGUGAGGAAACGUCAAACAGUAGCAAAAACGAUACCAGCGCCGCGAGUGGUCAAUCGACCUACUACUGAAUAUUUGAAUCAACCGUUAAAAAGGUGAUCGAUGGGAGGCGAUGAGAGUGUGACGUCUAUUUCUCUUUGCUGGAAAUGUAUUAACCCUAGCUCAGCAGGGUAAUCUGGCACAAUUAGCCAAGGAGGCAUGCCGUAUGAUGUUUGAGAUCCUAGGUGUUAGGAAUAAAUAAUCCUCAACCGUUUGUCCAUCGUUAGAAUUACAAACAGCUUCACUGUACUUGGAUUUGAAUACCAAUACCCGCACAACGUGCAUAUAGUUAUAUCAUUGUUUUGCACUAUCCAUUCGUCAACAGUAAUUGCGCACAUGCUAGACAGUGUAAAGAUAAAUUCUAUUUCUAUAUUAAACGUAAGCAUCUUUUUUCUCUUUAUACCUAAAAUAUCAAUACUUAAACCAAAUUUGUUCUUAAAAUUGGGUAUUAUUAUUCUAUUGUAUCGGAGAUAUAUUUGUUGCUGAAUGUUAUAUUAUGCGGAAACUAAAUGUAAGUUAUUUAAGUGAUAAUAAUCGACAUGCCAAUUCAGAGUGUCUACUCGUUUACUAAAAUAAAAUUCCCUGAUUUUUCCAGGUUUUUUCCAGGUCUGAGAAAAAAAUUCCAGAUUCAGAAAUAGAAAAAAAUAACUAGCAGAAGUAAAUUUACCAUAUACCCGACAGAAAAGAGUUUGCUGAAUUGUGUAAGAAAAAAAAUGGUGGUGGCAUUAGUAGAUUUAUUUCUGGUUGAACUUCUAGUAGAAAUGGGUCGCCUUCAAUAAUUUUCGGCGGAUUUCAAAUUAAAUUUAAUGCAAAAGUCUAUUGAAAUUAUUUGUCAAUUAAUAGGAAAUGUUUGCAAUUUUUUAACUGAUUAAGAUGUUGGUGGAAGCCUUCAAGAAAUAUUGACAAAUAUUUUGUAUAAAUCUAUGAUGGUAUAAGAUGAUAAUGUGUUGUAGAAACAUAUUACGUAAUCAAUUCUUCUCAAGAAAUCUCACAGAAAAUCACAAAAUGAAAUAAUGAGCUUUUUGCAAUAUUUCAUUAGAAACUGCAUGGGAUUUUUUACUGUCGACAUCCUUGAAAAAAUCCUUAGCAAAUCUGAGUCCAAAAAUUAUUCGAAAAGUCUAUACAGAAAUGUCUAUCGAGAAUUCGCUUGUUUUAAGUUCCAUAAAUUCACAUUGAAUGUUGAAAAAAAAAAUCUAAACUAUUGUUUAAAACUACUCCUACAAAAUCCAACAUUUUGCGGAGCUUCUCAUGGGUUCAGCCAUUAUUAUCUAGAAUUUUUAUCAACCAUUCUUUUCAAGGGAUUUGUAAAAAAUCAAUUUCUAAAAAAAAUCUCAUGAAACUAGCUGUACCCGGCAAACUUUGUCUUGCCUACUGCGUUUUUUGACGUUUCAAGUUUCUAUCCAAGACCAAGUCCCCGGUCGCAAAAUGUAUGGAAGAUCGAUUUUCAAAAACUCUCAAUUUUGCGUGUUUUUUGCCUCAUAAACCUGCCUUGGGUGAAAACUAACAGAACAAAGCUUAGACGACCCAAAUCGGACCAUCCGUGCGCAAGUUAUGCGCGGUCCCACGUAUGCCACUACAUUUUUAUAUAUAUAGAUAGAUUACUUAAGCAUUUUUAAGGAAUGUCAAUUCAACUAAAAUCCUCACUCUGGGCGAUUUUCUUGAAAGUUUGUAGAAAGUUUGUUCAGACAUUCUGAUAAAGAUAUGUUAAGAAUUUCAUCAGACAUUUUUCUGGGACUUCUGGAUCUCCAUUUGAUACUUUAGAAACGUUGGAGUACUGUUUAUAAUUUUUAUCAGAUUUUUUACCCUUCUUACACCCAUAAGAAGGGUAUAAAUACCGCUCGAAAAACCGACUUUCGAUCCGAGGCCCGCAGGGCCGAGUUGCAUAUACCAAUCAACUCAGCUCGACGAACUGAGCAAAUGUCUGUGUGCGUAUGUAUGUGUGUGUGUGUGUGUAUGUGUGUGUGCGUGUGUGUGUGCGUAUGUUACAAAAAAAGUCACGCACGUUUCUCAGCCGUCUGACAUCCGAUUUGAAUUCUCUUUGUUGCAAAUGAAAGCUAUAACAUCCUAGUAGAACCCUAUUGAAUUUUAUUACGAUCCGACAUUUGGUUACCAAGAUAUCUUUCGAAGAAUACUUUGAAGUAAUAUAGGUUAGCUUUUUGAGAGAUUUUUGACUUAUAGCAUAUUGAUAAAUAUCUCAGCUGUCUGUCAACCGAUUUGGGUUCUCUUAGCACCAAAUAAAAGCUACAACAUCCUAGUAGAAUGCUCUAAAAUUUUAUUUUGAUUGGACAUUUGGUUAUUGAGAUAUCUUUCGAAGAGUACUUAGGAGUUAUACAAUUAAACUUUUUGAGAUUUUUAACAGGUUUGUGUUAUUUUUUUUCUGUUAAAAACGUUGUUUUUCGCAAAAUUUCAACCUGCUUUGGUCAUGAAACUUUCAUUAGAUUCUUUUGAAACACUUCCGAUAAAAAUAACUACAUCAAAUCUCAAUUGAGAAACAUUUAAAAUAUUAUGACAUAUUUAUAUGAGAUGCAUGCAAAAUUAAUAUGGCAACACUUCCAAAAACGAUCUAAUUCAUGAUUUACAAGUCGAUCUAGAAUGCAGAUCACCAUACAAAAUGACUUUGUUGGAUAUUUUUCGAAAUUUGAUAAUUUUUUAUCAUGGAAUUCUAAAAAUUGUACAAUUCGGCUAAACGAAUGUCUAGGCAAAAAAAUGACAUUUGAAGGGUUUUUACCCUCGUUUUUGUUUCAGUGUAUAUGUAAGUGUGAUGUGUCACAUUUUUAUAAAACAGUACUACUACACUACGAUAAAAAAGUUUUAUCAUUAAAUAUUUUGUAUGAGUUUCCUGGCACUUUUUUGAUUUUUUGUUUAGCCUCGGCUAAACGAAUGUCUAUCACUGUAUCUUUCAAAGAGUAUUUGAGAGUAAUACAGGCUAACUUUUUGAGAGAUUUUUGACAAAGUGUAUAUCAUAAUAAAUAUCUCAGCCAUCUGUCAACUUAUUUGGGUUCUCUUAGCACCAAAUGAAAGCUACAAUAUCCUUGUGCGGGGAUGAACCAGCCUCGGGCUGAAAAUCCCCAUAAUAAAGAGCCAAUAAUAAUAAUAUCCUUGUAAAAGGUUCUGAAAUUUUAUUUCGAUUGGACAUUUGGUUACUAGAUAUCUUUCGAAGAGUAUUUCAAUAAAUUCCUUUUUUUAUUUUAUUGUUAUAUUCGCUUGUUAUCUUGCAUGAGAUUUUGACCAGUCUAAGGUAAAUUAUUUUUCAAUAAAUAAUGCUGAUCUCAUAUAAAGGAGGCGAAUGACUUUUUGUUAAAACCUCUUUAAUAAAUAAAUAAUAAUAAUAUAAAGUGUAUACUAGCAGGUUAUUAUUAAAUUAUAAAUAACAAAUUACAAAUAAACAGGAAUUCUUUGAAAACUAACAAUUUGUUAAAUGAAAGCUUUGAAUUUAUAUAUUGUGAAUAAGUGCAAGAACCGGACAGCCAAAAUAACUAGCUAAUGCGAAAACUGAUUGACAUAGUAGAUGUAUCAUUUUUGUCCUUUUUGCAUAAUAGCCAUGAAUACUAAGUACUUCGGAGCUAAUUUAAUCGACUGAUUAAGGGAUAUUAGACAAAGUGUAUCUCGCUGAUUUUCUUACCCAUUUGUUAAUCGAUUCAAGAUCUUUUGGCAGUUAACAAAAAAUACAAUAUUUCAGAAUAUGUAAGCUAUUUUGUAAACAUUCCAUACAAGAUUCUAGGAGGUGUCUGGCAUUUCUGGUAGUUUAGUUCACGAUCCAUGGUGCUAUUUUGGAAACUAAUCCACUAGAUGCCAAAUCCACAAUAUUUUCUAGAACUUUUGGUCAAUUACACAAAAUAAAUAUGUUAAAUACAAAUAAUUUUUUUUUUUUUUUUUUUUUUUUUUUGCUAGGUUUCUAGCUGCACUCUGAAUAGAGUUGAAACCUCUACACUAGACCCGAAGAUAGAAAAGAGUACGUAAUCUUUCAGAAGCAAUUUGCCAGCCGUACGCGGAAAAUGAUAUCCAUUAAGACACUGUUGCCUACUGACUCAGAAAGUUACGGUAGAAGGUUGAAAAGUUUUCAAUUGGUCAGUCAGUCAGGAUUUGCCUAUGUAGUGUUAUGGUCACACGGUUUGUGUUUGUCGUCUUGUUCGAUUUUGUGGUAUGGUUCAAUAUGUUUUUCUUCUCGUUAAGUCAGUGGUCGUAUGUUUGUUUUUCAUCGAAUCAAUAAAACCCUGUAUGUUAAAAUAUAGUCGAUCCUGUGUCAAAUUAUUUUCUUGAUUUCGCUUAUCGUUUUCUACUUCUCUGUGUUUAUCUCUUGUGUCCUUAAAUUGUCAUCGGUCCAAAACCCACAGAAACAUGCAACUGAACUUCUGAUAUUUUUCUGUUAGUUUAAAAUACCAUCUAAGAGAUAGACAAAAAUACGUCAAGUUGGUCAGUUGAUUGCAAUAAAAUUUCAAAAUAAUAAAGAUUGCUUGUCAACUAUUAUGUAUUCGUCCCCCUACAAAUACUAUGAAAAAUGUUCAAAUUCGUUCAAUUGUCCUAUCAUGCCUAGAAAUGUCAACCUAGUCAUACACAAGUAACGUUGUUCAGUUAAUAAAAAUCAGUCAGUUUUUGUCCAAAAUGUCACGUCGAACGCAUUGACGUCAACAAUGCGUUUAAGUGUUCGCACGUUAGCUUCGAAUCUAUCAGCACAAUUAAGUGCUGCAAAUCUCCUUCCCACUAUUAAUUCUUCGGUCGAUUUUAAUUGCUUUAUUUAAAAAAAAAUAUGACCAACUAACAUUCUAAAAAUUCGAAAACGCGACUAUGACAUUAAUAAAUUACUAAUCAAAAUCAACCGAGAAACGUAGGAAAUAGAGCCCAAACAACACUUUGAAGUCAGCUGGCUGUAAAAGGUUCCAAAACCUGUCACAAAUCCUACAAUACUUUUAUUAGGAUUUGUAACGAUCAUCAAAACCUUCUUAAAUCCAACCGACUUGGAACUAUUGCUUGGGAAUAGACUCUAAUGAGCCCUGGCGGAUCCUCCAUGUUUAUCGAGCAUGUCUGAUGCAUAUGAUCAGCCAUACUCCAUCUGCAGCAGCCGGUUCGUGAUGAACCGUUGGAGGCGCAUUAAAGUGUUAAAAAGGUGAUAUGUUUCACUAAAGAACACUACAUUACAAUAAUCAAAAUGAAACUCCUUCACUUUAAUACCGUCAACCCCUGCGAACUUGGCCAGGGAAAUAUGUUAAAUUUAAAUAUGUUAAAUACAAAUAAUACAACAAUAAUUUUAAUAAGUGUAUGAAGGGUUCUGUUCAAAAUAGGUGGAUUAAGGCGAAACUGGAAGCAUUUCCUCACUUUUUGGUUUUUGAUUUUUUAUUAAAUAACGAAGCAAUAUUUUCAAAAUCGGUUUUCGUGCACAUGUAGAGUAUGGAUCAAGGUAUCUUCUGAUUUUUUUUUGUAUUGGAAAAUGUUUUUCGUUUUUGCAGAAACCAUUUUUGAAUAAAAUUUCACAUAAAAAUGGUUUCCG